CAGCAGCCACGGGAAUACGUAGGUGGCAAGCGUUGUCCGGAAUUAUUGGGCGUAAAGGGCUCGCAGGCGGUUUCUUAAGUCUGAUGUGAAAGCCCCCGGCUCAACCGGGGAGGGUCAUUGGAAACUGGGAAACUUGAGUGCAGAAGAGGAGAGUGGAAUUCCACGUGUAGCGGUGAAAUGCGUAGAGAUGUGGAGGAACACCAGUGGCGAAAGCACUCUGCUGGGCCGACACUGACACUGGGAGACGAAAGCUAGGGGAGCAAAUGGGAUUAGAUACCCCGGUAGUCCCUGUCUCUUAUAC
rnacentral:rRNA from 1 species